UACGUAGGUGGCGAGCGUUGUCCGGAAUUACUGGGUGUAAAGCGCGUGUAGGCGGGAGGCCAAGUCUGUGGUGAAAUCGCUCGGCUUAACUGGGCGGGGUCCAUGGAAACUGGUCACCUGGAGGUCGGUAGAGGCAAGUGGAAUUCCCGGUGUAGUGGUGAAAUGCGUAGAGAUCGGGAGGAACACCAGUGGCGAAGGCGGCUUGCUGGGCCGGACCUGACGCUGAGGCGCGAAAGCGUGGGGAGCAAACGGG
rnacentral:rRNA from 1 species